rnacentral:rRNA from 1 species
CAUAGGUUAAUGAGGCGAACCGGGGGAACUGAAACAUCUAAGUACCCCGAGGAAAAGAAAUCAACCGAGAUUCCCCCAGUAGCGGCGAGCGAACGGGGAGCAGCCCAGAGCCUGAAUCAGUGUGUGUGUUAGUGGAAGCGUCUGGAAAGGCGCGCGAUACAGGGUGACAGCCCCGUACACAAAAAUGCACAUACUGUGAGCUCGAUGAGUAGGGCGGGACACGUGGUAUCCUGUCUGAAUAUGGGGGGACCAUCCUCCAAGGCUAAAUACUCCUGACUGACCGAUAGUGAACCAGUACCGUGAGGGAAAGGCGAAAAGAACCCCGGCGAGGGGAGUGAAAAAGAACCUGAAACCGUGUACGUACAAGCAGUGGGAGCACGCUUAGGCGUGUGACUGCGUACCUUUUGUAUAAUGGGUCAGCGACUUAUAUUCUGUAGCAAGGUUAACCGAAUAGGGGAGCCGAAGGGAAACCGAGUCUUAACUGGGCGUUAAGUUGCAGGGUAUAGACCCGAAACCCGGUGAUCUAGCCAUGGGCAGGUUGAAGGUUGGGUAACACUAACUGGAGGACCGAACCGACUAAUGUUGAAAAAUUAGCGGAUGACUUGUGGCUGGGGGUGAAAGGCCAAUCAAACCGGGAGAUAGCUGGUUCUCCCCGAAAGCUAUUUAGGUAGCGCCUCGUGAAUUCAUCUCCGGGGGUAGAGCACUGUUUCGGCAAGGGGGUCAUCCCGACUUACCAACCCGAUGCAAACUGCGAAUACCGGAGAAUGUUAUCACGGGAGACACACGGCGGGUGCUAACGUCCGUCGUGAAGAGGGAAACAACCCAGACCGCCAGCUAAGGUCCCAAAGUCAUGGUUAAGUGGGAAACGAUGUGGGAAGGCCCAGACAGCCAGGAUGUUGGCUUAGAAGCAGCCAUCAUUUAAAGAAAGCGUAAUAGCUCACUGGUCGAGUCGGCCUGCGCGGAAGAUGUAACGGGGCUAAACCAUGCACCGAAGCUGCGGCAGCGACGCUGAUGCGUUGUUGGGUAGGGGAGCGUUCUGUAAGCCUGUGAAGGUGUGCUGUGAGGCAUGCUGGAGGUAUCAGAAGUGCGAAUG